rnacentral:rRNA from 1 species
UGACCCUUUAAGAGUCCUGAAGGAACGUUGAAGACGACGACGUUGAUAGGCCGGGUGUGUAAGCGCAGCGAUGCGUUGAGCUAACCGGUACUAAUGAACCGUGAGGCUUAACCUUACAACGCCGAAG